rnacentral:lncRNA from 1 species
CUUAGCGUUCACUUGCUUCUAGGAGAGACGAACACUAGUGACAUGUACUAGACGGCACUUGUGAGGAUUGUCCAGUGGACAGAGAUCCCAAGUAAUGAUUAUUGAUGGUCGGCAAGAAAGGACGUGGAUGCAACUAAGACUCUGAAACCGCCCGAUAUAAAAUUUGUGUCAAUAAUGAUCACUGGGUCCGUUUCCAGAUUAAGGUUAGUGUCCUCCAUAAAUCCUCCCAAAGGCACAUACAUUUGUCGAUGGAAUGGAAAGAACUUGCAUACGACCAAUCCAUAUAUGCACACGUUGUAAUCUACUCGUCUGCAGCAGUCAGCCACAUAAUUUCCCUUCUGUGGUGUAAGCAAAACGAAACAUAUGUAAAGGUCAAGACUUGAAUUGGUGGUUCAACUUUCGAGUUUCUCACGGCG